ensembl:rRNA 5S_rRNA 5S ribosomal RNA
GCUUACGGCCAUACCAGCCCAAGAACGUCCCGGUCUCGUCUGAUCUCGGAAGCUAAGAAGGCUUGGGCCUGGUUAGUACUUGGAUGGGAGACCUCCUGGGAAUACCAGGUGCUGUAAGCU